GACUACCGGGGUAUCUAAGCCGGUUCGCUCCCCACGCUUUCGUGCCUCAGCGUCAGAAAUGGUCCAGUAACCUGCCUACGCCAUUGGUGUUCCUUCGUAUAUCUACGGAUUUCACUCCUACACACGAAAUUCCAGUUACCUCUACCAUUCUCGAGUCGUACAGUUCGAACAAUGGGUUGAUGGUUGAGCCACCAGAUUUCACUAUUCGCUUAUACGACCGCCUACGCAACUCUUUACGCCCAGUCACUCCGGAUAACGCUUGGGUCCUACGUAUGACCGCGGCUGCUGGCACGUAGUUAGCCGACCCUUAUUCAUAAGUUACCGUCAUAUUCCUCACUUAUAAAAGAAGUUUACGACCCGAGGGCCUUCAUCCUUCACGCGGUGUUGCUCCAUCAGGGUUGCCCCCAUUGUGGAAGAUUCCUUACUGCAGCCCCCCGUAGG
rnacentral:rRNA from 1 species